rnacentral:rRNA from 1 species
UGGGGAAUAUUGGACAAUGGGCGCAAGCCUGAUCCAGCCAUGCCGCGUGUGUGAAGAAGGCCUUUUGGUUGUAAAGCACUUUAAGCGAGGAGGAGGCUACUUGGAUUAAUACUCUAGGAUAGUGGACGUUACUCGCAGAAUAAGCACCGGCUAACUCUGUGCCAGCAGCCGCGGUAAUACAGAGGGUGCGAGCGUUAAUCGGAUUUACUGGGCGUAAAGCGUGCGUAGGCGGCUUCUUAAGACGGAUGUGAAAUCCCUGAGCUUAACUUAGGAAUUGCAUUCGAUACUGGGAAGCUAGAGUAUGGGAGAGGAUGGUAGAAUUCCAGGUGUGGCGGUGAAAUGCGUAGAGAUCUGGAGGAAUACCGAUGGCGAAGGCAGCCAUCUGGCCUAAUACUGACGCUGAGGUACGAAAGCAUGGGGAGCAAACAGG